AGGAAUAUUGGUCAAUGGACGCAAGUCUGAACCAGCCAUGCCGCGUGCAGGAAGACGGCUCUAUGAGUUGUAAACUGCUUUUGUACGAGGGUAAACUCACCUACGUGUAGGUGACUGAAAGUAUCGUACGAAUAAGGAUCGGCUAACUCCGUGCCAGCAGCCGCGGUAAUACGGAGGAUUCAAGCGUUAUCCGGAUUUAUUGGGUUUAAAGGGUGCGUAGGCGGUUUGAUAAGUUAGAGGUGAAAUCCCGGGGCUUAACUCCGGAACUGCCUCUAAUACUGUUAGACUAGAGAGUAGUUGCGGUAGGCGGAAUGUAUGGUGUAGCGGUGAAAUGCUUAGAGAUCAUACAGAACACCGAUUGCGAAGGCAGCUUACCAAACUAUAUCUGACGUUGAGGCACGAAAGCGUGGGGAGCAAACAGGAUUAGAUACCCUGGUAGUCCACGCAGUAAACGAUGAUAACUCGUUGUCGGCGAUACACAGUCGGUGACUAAGCGAAAGCGAUAAGUUAUCCACCUGGGGAGUACGUUCGCAAGAAUGAAACUCAAAGGAAUUGACGGGGGCCCGCACAAGCGGAGGAACAUGUGGUUUAAUUCGAUGAUACGCGAGGAACCUUACCCGGGCUUGAAAGUUACUGACGAUUCUGGAAACAGGAUUUCCCUUCGGGGCAGGAAACUAGGUGCUGCAUGGUUGUCGUCAGCUCGUGCCGUGAGGUGUCGGGUUAAGUCCCAUAACGAGCGCAACCCCUACCGUUAGUUGCCAUCAGGUCAAGCUGGGCACUCUGGCGGGACUGCCGGUGUAAGCCGAGAGGAAGGUGGGGAUGACGUCAAAUCAGCACGGCCCUUACGUCCGGGGCUACACACGUGUUACAAUGGUAGGUACAGAGGGUCGCUACCCCGCGAGGGGAUGCCAAUCUCGAAAGCCUAUCUCAGUUCGGAUUGGAGGCUGAAACCCGCCUCCAUGAAGUUGGAUUCGCUAGUAAUCGCGCAUCAGCCAUGGCGCGGUGAAUACGUUCCCG
rnacentral:rRNA from 1 species